rnacentral:lncRNA from 1 species
AAUAGUUAAUUACUUAGACUUUAUUAUGUGAAAAGACUUUCCUAAAAUUCUUCCCUAAUAAUUGAAGAUAUAAAUUACAAUAAUUAAAAUACACAAAAAAUAAAAGUAUUAAAAUAGUGACAAAUUUUUAAAAGGGUAAACUUGAAAAUUAUUUAAUUUUUAAUCUCAAAAAUCUGAAAGUGAUUUUAUCAAUGUCCUAAAAAAUUGAAAUAAAAACAAACUUAAUAAUGUAAAAGAAGGGAGGUUUCCACCGGGCUGGGGGCGGGAGCUAGGGCUUCCCUGGGGACGCAGAAGCAAGAAGCAGGGACCUUGGCGCGCACCAGGCUUUCCGGGACAGAGCCUCGGCCUCCCGCCCACGCCUCCGGCCGCCGGCGUGGUGCUGCUGGCUGGGACCCAGCCGCAGGGUGGCGGGGCGCGCUGCAUGACCCCGCCACCGCCGUCCCCACUCCUAGGCACACAGGUCGAGGAGGACCGCGCUGACUACAAAGAGUUCCAGGACUUCUCCAGUCUGCCCGACACCCGCAGCAUCGCCUGGGACGACUCUUUGUACCCUUUCCAGGAGGAGGAGGAGCACGGCGUCGAGGGCGUGGAGAGCGUCCUGGAGGAGGGCGUCCUGGAGGAGGGCGUCCUGGAGGCGUGGGGCUGCUGCAGACGUUGGUGCGGCGGGGGGUGAGCGUUGAGAAGGCUCAGGAGACUGACCACAAUGGCCAGAGCGGCCUUAAUGUCGCCUGCUACCACGGCUUUGUGGAUAUACCGUGGUGGCCUUAGCUGAGUGCCCCCACAUUGAAGUCAACUGGCAGGACAGGGAGGGGAACGCAACCCUAAUCAUAGCUGCACAGGCAGGAGCUGCCCCUGGGCACGCUAUCAUCACCAACUACUUGCUGAACUAUGUCCUGGGUCUUGACCUUGAAGGAUGGACGCGUUCGGGUUGAAAGCCGCCAUGCAGGGUCGAACCGAUCGCAUCCGAGCCCUGAGCUAGCAGGGGCGGGUGUCCACGCGAGGGCCCCCGCCGUGGGAGGUCGCCAAAGGAGUGGCCACUUACACGUCCGUCUCAUGCAGAGGCUCCUGGAGCGCCCCUGCCAGGAGCGACUGGGGAAAAAGUACCAGCUUGAGCUGCCUCCGCUCCACGAGAGGGUGCGGAAGCCCGAGGGCUCGAAGAACUGCCUGCAGAGGGUCAGGGACUGCGAGCUGUCCACGCUGACGCCGCGCUCCGUGCGUGGCCCGGAGGACCGGGGCGCCCUGGACCACAUGGUCAGGAUGACCACCAGCCUCUAACAGCCCCGCCGUGGCCCUCGCGUGCCAGACCGUGUGCCCCCAGAGCUCCCUGUGCGUGGGGAAGAGGCGGCUGGCGGUGCAGGAAAUCCUGGCGGCUCAGGAAAUUCUGGCGGCGCGGCUGGGGGUGAGGAGGCAGGCGCAGGAGGCGGGCGAAGCGGAGAGCGCAGAGCAGCACAAGCCGCCCUGCCCAGAGGCCGCGGGCUCCCGGGAGGGCUCCCUAAGAGCCGGCCUCCCACCUGCCCCGCUGCCAGGGUCCUGGGGCUCUGGCGACCCCGCCCCGCGGAAGGCCAGCCUCCUGCCCCUGCAGCGCCUGCAGCGGAGCAGCUUGCGGCCCGGCGUGGUGGUGCCCCGGGUCCGCCUCAGCAAGGCGCCCGUGCCCACCUUCCAGCCCCAGAGGCCGGC